ensembl:snRNA U4 U4 spliceosomal RNA
AGCUUUGCGCAGUGGCAGUAUCGUAGCCAAUGAGGUUCAUCAGAGGUGCGAUUAUUGCUAAUUGAAAACUUUCCUAAGCAACAUUUGGCAAUGUAGAAGAGGCCAUAUUGCUUCACAAUACAUUUUCUUUGUCAUUUCCUUCUUUGGAACACGUUUUCAUUUUACAUAAUGU